rnacentral:rRNA from 1 species
CCUACGGGAGGCAGCAGUGAGGAAUAUUGGUCAAUGGACGAGAGUCUGAACCAGCCAAGUAGCGUGAAGGAUGACUGCCCUAUGGGUUGUAAACUUCUUUUAUAUGGGAAUAAAAUGUGCCACGUGUGGGAUUUUGUAUGUACCAUAUGAAUAAGGAUCGGCUAACUCCGUGCCAGCAGCCGCGGUAAUACGGAGGAUCCGAGCGUUAUCCGGAUUUAUUGGGUUUAAAGGGAGCGUAGGUGGAUUGUUAAGUCAGUUGUGAAAGUUUGCGGCUCAACCGUAAAAUUGCAGUUGAAACUGGCAGUCUUGAGUACAGUAGAGGUGAGCGGAAUUCGUGGUGUAGCGGUGAAAUGCUUAGAUAUCACGAAGAACUCCGAUUGCGAAGGCAGUUCACUGGACUGCAACUGACACUGAGGCUCGAAAGUGUGGGUAUCAAACAGGAUUAGAUACCCGUGUAGUC